AGUGAACGCUGGCGGUAGGCCUAACACAUGCAAGUCGAACGGCAGCACAGUAAGAGCUUGCUCUUACGGGUGGCGAGUGGCGGACGGGUGAGGAAUACAUCGGAAUCUACUUUUUCGUGGGGGAUAACGUAGGGAAACUUACGCUAAUACCGCAUACGACCUACGGGUGAAAGCAGGGGAUCUUCGGACCUUGCGCGAUUGAAUGAGCCGAUGUCGGAUUAGCUAGUUGGCGGGGUAAAGGCCCACCAAGGCGACGAUCCGUAGCUGGUCUGAGAGGAUGAUCAGCCACACUGGAACUGAGACACGGUCCAGACUCCUACGGGAGGCAGCAGUGGGGAAUAUUGGGCAAUGGGCGCAAGCCUGACGCAGCCAUACCGCGUGAGUGAAGAAGGCCUUCGGGUUGUAAAGCCCUUUUGUUGGGAAAGAAAAGCUGUAGGUUAAUACACGGCUGUUCUGACGGUACCCAAAGAAUAAGCCCCGGCUAACUUCGUG
rnacentral:rRNA from 1 species